rnacentral:rRNA from 1 species
GAUGAACGCUGGCGGCGUGCCUAAUACAUGCAAGUCGAGCGAACGGACGAGAAGCUUGCUUCUCUGAUGUUAGCGGCGGACGGGUGAGUAACACGUGGAUAACCUACCUAUAAGACUGGGAUAACUUCGGGAAACCGGAGCUAAUACCGGAUGAUAUUUUGAACCGCAUGGUUCAAAAGUGAAAGACGGUCUUGCUGUCACUUAUAGAUGGAUCCGCGCUGCAUUAGCUAGUUGGUAAGGUAACGGCUUACCAAGGCAACGAUGCAUAGCCGACCUGAGAGGGUGAUCGGCCAACCGGAAACGGGGACCCGGUCCAGACCCCUAGGGGAGGCAGCAGUAGGGAAUCUGCCGCAAGGGGCGAAAGCCUGAGGGGGCAACGCGGGGGGAGUAAGGAAGGUCUUCGGGUCGUAAAACUUUUUUUUUGGGGAAGAAAAUUUGGGUAAGAAACUGUGCCCUUUUGGCCGGUACCUAAUCAAAAAGCCACGGCAAACUACGG